CACGCUCCCAUGGGGCAGGGUUUGGCUCCGCGGGGAGGCAGACACCUCCCCCCUCUCCUGGAGCCCUGCCGCCGCAUGUGCAGUGCUCUGGGAGCCGGGGCUGAGCGCGCUCCCGCGGGGCAGCGUUUGGCUCCACGGGGAGGCUAGGAGCCUCAUCGCAUGCCAUGGAACCAAACUGAACCAACUCAUGUUCUCCUAACCAGACCAGAUCUUACUGUGUGUCUUUGGACCUCUCAGUCUGAUUCCCUCUUAUUCAAACUGGUUUGGGGGAAAGCAGAAUGAAUGCAUUGGUACCCUUUUCUUACUCACAGCUUAUCGGCAACAGCAAGUCCACUAGACAUGUGGGGACACCAGCCAAGCCACCUGCAACUCCCGCUGCACUGGGAUCCCAAGGCCUGGACGUCUAGUUCCAAAAAUGAGCAGAGCUGGCCCAGAAGAGAGUGGGCUUAGGAAAGCUGGGCCAUGCACUGAUGCAGCCCAUCUCCCAGGGACCCUCCCACUGGCUGUGUUGCGAUGGCUGGAUUUUAAAGCUACCCUCCCUACAGAAACUCUCCAGAGGGCACCAGUGAGGGAAAAAGGACACAUUUUUCCUCAAAAGGGAGAUUGUCCACCUGGGUGGGAGCCAGGCACAAUGAAGCCUUCUCUGAUGUCCACGGUCCACGUAAGGGCCAUGCUCAUUUGUUCUCCCUGUGCUGAGCAGUGCUGCCUCUGUAAUCCCUAGGGCACAGUAGUCAGAAAGGGACAAGGUGUGGGGAGAGGCAAGAUCAUCAAUACUUUCCCUUUCCAAAGCAGACCCCAGUGUGGGCAGGGGAGAUUAUGAUGCACCUCAUAGAGGUAUGCAGUAGUAGAUGUAUUUGCCACGGAACUGCAACACUGUGCACCAUCUCCAACACAGGCUAUGUCUUAAAGGCACAGCUGAGCCCAUU